GACGAACGCUGGCGGCGUGCCUAACACAUGCAAGUCGAGCGAUGAAAUUAGAAACGGAGUCUUCGGACGAAGUGGAAAAUGGAUUAGCGGCGGACGGGUGAGUAACACGUGAGCAACCUGCCUAUCACAUCGGGAUAGCCUCGGGAAACUGGGAUUAAUACCGAAUGAAACAUAAUCACUGCCUAGUGGAAAUGUCAAAGAUUUAUCGGUGAUAGAUGGGCUCGCGUCUGAUUAGCUAGUUGGUGAGGUAAUGGCUCACCAAGGCGACGAUCAGUAGCCGGCCUGAGAGGGUGAACGGCCACAUUGGGACUGAGACACGGCCCAGACUCCUACAGGAGGCAGCAGUGGGGAAUAUUGCACAAUGGAGGGAACUCUGAUGCAGCGACGCUGCGUGAGCGAUGAAGGCUUUCGAGUCGUAAAGCUCUGUCGAAUGGGAAGAUAAUGACGGUACCAUUUGAGAAAGCCCCGGCUAACUACGUGCCAGCAGCCGCAGUAA
rnacentral:rRNA from 1 species